rnacentral:lncRNA from 1 species
GAAUGUGGACAAAGUGAAGGAUUUGCCUUUGGGGAGUUCAUUUUUCUUUCAGCAUUUGGCUUACAUAAGUUAUUACUUUUUUUUUUUUUAAGUAACACGCUGACAUAUCUGUGUGACGCAAUCUUUAAAUUUACUGAUUCCUGAAUUUCCACAGGGUUUUGUUUUUUUUUGUUUUUUUGUUUUUUUUUGUCCAAAGCUAUCCAUGCUUCUGUACUGUGACAGUGACAUCCUCCAAGCACGGAGCUUACAGAUGGCCUGGUAACAUGAAGGUGACGGACACGGAAACCCAAGCCAGCAGGAGAGAUCUGUUCAGUGGGACACAGAAUAUAACCAGAAGGAAAAGAAGAAUGAAGAGCAUCACUUACUCAAAAUGUCCCUGAGCAGCUGCGACGCACAAGGGUGUGAAGCCAUUUUUAUCAGCAGCGUCGACUCGGGCUUCUGCAUUCAGCAGCAAUCGCACACAGUCUACAGGAUUUUAACAGAAGGUCACUCAGUGCAAUGAUGAGCCAGGUUCCCUCUAAGCUGUGCAGAGAAUCUAGCAGCAAAGGCUGACCUGACCGCUCUGUCCUGCUGGAUGUGGCAUGCCACAGACUUUCACAUGGAGAGCCAUCUCUUUUCCUGAAGACAGGAUAUCUCCACAGCCACCAAGACAUGGUUUUAAAAAAAUAUUUCCAGUAGAGUUGUUGAUGGGUUAAAAAAAGAAUACCAUGUACCGGAAAAAUACUUUGCUAGGUUCUAGGCCUGAUUUUCUUCAAAAGAAUGUUUUGGGGCAGACAAUCAGAUCUGUUUACCAAACUGUAUUUAUAUAGUUACAUUCUUACUGAAUGAUUAAUGCUAAUCUAAUCAUCAAAGUACUUCUAUGUGGGCCAUCCUACACUUGGCUACUUGAAGAUCAAGGAAAGCCCACAGAAAGCCACCUGAGACACAAACAUCACUAACACAGAACUUUCAUAAAUAAUACUGAAUGAUCUAAAUUUAAUUUCUCUACAGUGAAGAAAAUUCCCCCAGUGCCUUUUGAAUUCCAAAGUGCUUUACAUGUACUGAGUCUCCUUAGCUCCGAGUCUAUCUGAUCCAAGCAGGAAAUAGUCCACAGUGCACACACAUAGUAGCUUAGAACAUGUAGUCAAGCCAUCUCUUUUUCUGUGUUACCACGUGUUUUAGUAUAGUUAACUACAAGAUUUGCAUUUGAAAGAGUAAAAAGAAUUAUUAGUCUUUGCUGUCAUAACAUUUAUAGUAAGUUUUCACUUCUCAAAAAAAAAACCAAUCUAAAUAACUAUAAAUUAUUACAAGUCCACUCUUUCUAAUUGGUAGAGCCUCACUGUGGCAGCCACUCAACACCUAAGCCUAAGAGCCUGGAAGACCUGCUUCUCCCACAGCAGGUAUUCUUGCUACCAAGGAAAUCAGGGUUACUCUGUGCUGACAAGAGUGACCUCGGAUGGAGAGUUACAUUUUAAUGUGUGUUUAAAAAUCUCUAUAUGGACAAUACAUUUUGUUGUACCUUUGUGAAAAUUGAUUCACCACUGGCUCUACAUUUUACAGUAAGGGGCCAUAUAAUUAGGUCCUUAAAUAUUCAUAAGACUUUAAAACUUAUUUUUAAAAAAUCCCCAUUCUGUUCCUCCUUAAAAAAAAAAAAAAAAGAAAUCCAAGAGGACCCUUUGCUCACAGCAGUGAUUUAAAUCACCUUUGGUCAUCCAUACUUUUGCCAAGUAUGUUAAGGUAAGACACUGUUGGUUUGUUUUUUUUGUUUUGUUUUGUUUUGGCUUUUUACCUGUAUGUCCAUUCUUAGCAGCAGAAUACAAGGCAGAAUGGCCAUCUUCGCAGGAGUAAUUUAUGUCCAGUCCUUCUUCAUUAAGCAGCAUUGAUAAUAAAGUGACAUUUCCCUGGGCAGCAGCUUGCUGAAGAAGGGUGGGCCUGCCAGCCAGGGGGGCAGGACCACCACUCAUUAGCAAAGGGGUUAGGGAGGGUGACCAGCCUGUAGGUUAAAGUGACCCUAGUUAGUGAGCAGGAAGAAGAGACAGAUACUACCAUUCCUUUUUGAAUCACACACACAGAGACAUGAACAUGUAUCCCUAGAAGAUUACAUGGUUUCUAACACUAUCAAUCUGUUAAUACUUUCUUAGCACAAACCCAUACUGUUAUUUUCAGACUUUCUAUCUGGUGCUAAUUAAAUUAACCUUAAUGAGGACAUGUUAUUUUUAGUUGUCAGUUUAGCACC